rnacentral:tRNA from 1 species
GGAGGCUUGGGGGAGUGGUUUAACCCAACAGUCUUGAAAACUGUCGACGGGCAACCGUCCGUGAGUUCGAAUCUCACAGCCUCCG